GUGCUCACUUUGGCAGCACAUAUACUAACAGUGAAA
rnacentral:snRNA from 1 species